AACGUAGGACGCAAGCGUUAUCCGGAUUUACUGGGCGUAAAGCGCGUGCAGGCGGCCUGUUAAGUCGUGCGUGAAAGCUCCCUGGCUCAACCGGGAGAGGUCGUACGAAACUGGCAGGCUAAGAGGGCAGCAGAGGAGUGUGGAAUUCCGGGUGUAGUGGUGAAAUGCGUAGAUAUCCGGAGGAACACCAGUGGCGAAGGCGGCACUCUGGGCUGUACCUGACGCUAAGACGCGAAAGCGUGGGU
rnacentral:rRNA from 1 species